CUUUCUUUGCUGGCGACCGGCGCACGGGUGAGUAACACGUAUCCAACCUGCCCUUUACUCGGGGAUAGCCUUUCGAAAGAAAGAUUAAUACCCGAUAGUAUAGUGAUUCCGCAUGGUUUCAUUAUUAAAGGAUUCCGGUAAAGGAUGGGGAUGCGUUCCAUUAGGUUGUUGGUGAGGUAACGGCUCACCAAGCCUUCGAUGGAUAGGGGUUCUGAGAGGAAGGUCCCCCACAUUGGAACUGAGACACGGUCCAA
rnacentral:rRNA from 1 species